AUUAAUCAUGAAAAUGUGUGGUGUUUUCAUUUGUUUAAUGCGGUGUUAUUUAGCAAGAUGAAAACAAAUGUAAACAGCAAUGUAGGCUACUGUAUCCCAUGCUCGCAGCUCCUCCCAUGCAGCACAAGAGCUGAUGAGCCAAUCGCUCAUGUAGUACAAAGCACAGUGACCACUCAAAAGUCAUGUUCCUCCAGUGGCCUACAGCUGUGUGUUGGAUUGCUGACAUGUAGCGCUGCUGUGACCGAUAAGAGAGAAUUUGGAGCGAAGUUGAAUAAUGACGUUCGCCAUGCUGCGACCGGUGGCCGCGCACUUCUAUUCCGACCUGAACAUCACGUCCGAGGAUGACGAGAACCGCAGCGAGAGCGACGACAGUUCGGACAGGCUCUGUUGCGGUGCCGGGAAGCGAGCGAGGAUUGCGCGUAAAGUAGAGGGCGAAUCCGUCGCGGUAGUGAUGAAGCAGCGGAGCGCGGCCAACGCCAGGGAGCGUGGCCGGACCCAGAGCGUCAACACCGCCUUUACGGCCCUCAGGACCCUCAUCCCCACCGAGCCGGUGGACAGAAAGCUCUCCAAGAUCGAGACCCUGCGCCUGGCUUCCAGUUACAUUUCCCACCUGGCCAACGUACUUCUUCUCGGGGAUGGCUGCGAGGAUGGACAGCCGUGCCUUGAUGUGGUCCAUGCUCAGGCUGGAGAGAAGGGAAGCAAGCAGCCGAGGACCAUCUGCACUUUCUGCUUGAGCAACCAGAGAAAAGGGGAUGGCAGUGAAUGUUUGAAGAUGCGCAGACUGGGCCCACUGCGACUGCGACGCUAACCAAAAACCAGUGAAGGAUUAACAACCCGAAAACCCUCAAAAGACUUUCUCAGGGAAGACUCAGACCUGUUGUUAUAGCACACAUACAUGCUGGAUCCGACAGUGGAGCCAAACAGCCUAUUUAUAUGUGACCGAGAAAUACACAUCAAGAAAGGGGUUUGCCACUGAGAAGCUGUUUAUGAAGCCGGGCCCGGGCCCCCUCAAAUGGCUCCCUGAGGCUCCCCCCGCCCGACAGGAAGAUGUCACGGA